rnacentral:rRNA from 1 species
ACGACUGCGGCGUGCUACACAUAGCAAGUCGAACGGACGUACAUACUGAACCUAGUGAUUAUUGAGUUAGUGGCGGACGGGUGAGUAACGGACGUGGGAGUAACCUAGCCGUAUACCGGGGGAGUAACACUUAGAAAUAGGUGCUAAUACCGCAUGAGCGCACAGCUCCGCAUGGAGCGGUGUGAAAACUCCGGUGGUAUACGAUGGAUCCGCGUCUGAUUAGCCAGUUGGCGGGGUAACGGCCCACCAAAGCGACGAUCAGUAGCCGGCCUGAGAGGGUGAACGGCCACAUUGGGACUGAGACACGGCCCAGACUCCUACGGGAGGCAGCAGUGGGGAAUAUUGCACAAUGGGGGAAACCCUGAUGCAGCGACGCCGCGUGAGUGAAGAAGUAUCUCGGUAUGUAAAGCUCUAUCAGCAGGAAAGAUAAUGACGGUACCUGACUAAGAAGUCACGGCUAACUACGUG